rnacentral:lncRNA from 1 species
CAUUGUCAGUUUAUUUUCGAUCUAUGAGUUUGACUGUUUCUCUGGUAUCUUUCGCCCCUGUUUUAGCUAGCUGUACACAUCUUUCUGGCCUGGGUUCAUCUGUCAAUAAAAUGUUAUGGUACUUUUGUCAUUUUAUCAAAAACAUUAAGCAGUAUAGGUUAACUACACAUGUUGUUUGUAAUGACUGUCAGGUGUUCAUGUCUGACUGGGUUCAUAUGACCUUGACCAAUUUCAUGGUUCAUUGAUCAAUAUUAAGAUUUUGUGGUAUGAUCUGUUUCUUAGGUAAUAUUAGAAAUUGAAACACUGUAUUUGGUGUGUGGAAUGAUUACAAGGUGGACAUGUCCGUCUCACCAUGUGAGAUAUACACGACUUAGGUUUGGGGACUAAAGACAAGUAUAUAGAUUGUAAAUAAAAAGAAGAACUUUCAAAUUAUGAUCCUUUUACUUUGGAUUCAAACGUCAAAAGAGGCUGAUACAUGUAAUCAUCACAACAAUCAUGGUUAAGACAAUACAAGGGUCCUGAAAGUACGGAUUAUACAGACAUACAUGUAUAACACAUGACCUCAUUUUCACAUAUGAACAUUCCAUAAUGUUAAGUGUAAGUUAUUGUGGACGUAAAACCUUUGUAUUCAUGAUGUAACAGAUUUGCAUAAAAAAAAUAGUUUCAAGAAAAAGGCAGA